AGUGAACGCUGGCGGUAGGCCUAACACAUGCAAGUCGAACGGCAGCACAGUAAAAGCUUGCUCUUACGGGUGGCGAGUGGCGGACGGGUGAGGAAUACAUCGGAAUCUACUUUUUCGUGGGGGAUAACGUAGGGAAACUUACGCUAAUACCUCAUACGACUUACGGGUGAAAGCAGGGGAUCUUCGUACCUUGCGCGAUUGAAUGAGCCGAUGUCGGAUUAGUUAGUUGGCGGGGUAAAGGCCCACCAAGGCGACGAUCCGUAGCUGGUCUGAGAGGAUGAUCAGCCACACUGGAACUGAGACACGGUCCAGCCUCCUACGGGGGGCAGAGGUGGGGAAUAUUGGACAAUGGGCGCAAGCCUGAUCCAGCCAUCCCGCGUGGGUGAGGAAGGCCUUCGGGUUGUAAAGCCUGUUUGUUGGGAAAGAAAAGCAGCAGGUUAAUACCCCGCUGUUCUGACGGUACCCAACGAGUAAGCACCGGCUAACUUCGUG
rnacentral:rRNA from 1 species